AAGGGUAUAGCUCAAGUGGUAGAGCGCGUGCUUAGCACGCACGAGGUCCUGGGUUCAAUCCCCAGUACCUCCA
rnacentral:tRNA from 1 species